rnacentral:siRNA from 1 species
UAGUAGGAAUCUGUGGCCCUGC